CGUUCAGUGAAUAAUCAUAUGCUGGGGAAGGCAGCAGGAAAAAUGAAGUAAACAAAUGUGUUUAUCCACAAAUGCUCCUACUAGGAGGAACCGGGAUCUCCAGUGAUUUUCUACUAACAGUUUUGCCUUUUCAGAAUAACAUUCAGUUUUGGGAUGGAGAAAAAAGUAUCUGAGUUUUUGGAUAGGAGAAAAUGUUUCCAACACAGUUAUUUCCAUAAGACCAUCUGCUCCUCUGUUACCAGGUAGAAGUGGCCUGUGUGAAAGCAGUCCUUAGCUCAAGAAAAGUCUUCUCUGGAGUUGUUCUGAUUUAUACCAGCUAAAGGUAAAAGCCUCUUCAGCUGGGGGAUAAUCCACAUUUGUGCGGUUCUUGAGUCUGCUGGACAAAUAAUUCAGGAAGAAAGGGAGUGAAGCGGGUCUGCAAUUUGAAGGACUCUUAAAGCUCCUGCUGCUCACAGCUCUGCUUCUCUUUCCAUCAGGAGGAAGCCUCAAGCACAAAUAUUACUUGUUCAGCCUGUAAAUUGUCAGAGAAAAUGUAGAGCAGGAAAACCCUCAUCCUCAUAAAGCACACAAUCUCAAUUCGCUCUGUAAAUACAACUUGUGCCUGGUGCAGUAACAAACCACCAGUACAUUAAAAAGGCAGUCACUGCUCUCUCCAUAACUGAAAGAUAAGGAUGAAGAGAAAGUAGAUUGUGACAAAUGUGAGGUUUCAAGGCCUGAAACUGAGAGCUUCCAGCCCAUGUUGAACCUUCCU